AACCCCUCAAGCCUAGCUUGGUGUUGGGCGUUUGUCCUGCUCUGUCAGGACUCGCCUCGAAAACAUUGGCAGUCUCCCAUGGCUAGAAGCGCAGUACAAUCGCGCUACCUUGGCCUCUGGUGUACUCCCACAAGUACCAACCUUUUU
rnacentral:misc_RNA from 2 species